AACAUGACUUUGAUCUGCGUCCUCAUCUGGACUCUCCUCUGCUGCUGCUUCACAGAGUCCAGAGGACAAUACACAGUGACUCAGCCUGGAGCAGUGAGCUCUGCUGUGGGACGAUCUGUGACCAUCAACUGUAGGACCAGUCAUAGGGUAGAUGAAGGUGAUGACAUGUCCUGGUACCAACAGAAAGAUGGAAAAGCUCCCAAAAUGUUUGUUUAUAAUUCUAACAGUCGAGCAUCAGGGAUUCCAGAUCGUUUUACAGGCAGUGGAUCAAACACCGACUUCACUCUGACCAUCAGUGGAGUCCAGGCUGAAGAUGCAGCAGUUUAUUAUUGCAUGGGUGAAUUCUAUGUGAACAGUCAGUAUUCGUUCACACAGUGA